AACGAACGCUGGCGGCGUGCCUAACACAUGCAAGUCGAGCGCGAAAGGAGCAAUCCGAGUAGAGCGGCGCACGGGUGCGUAACACGUGGAUAAUCUGCCUCAGGGUUGGGGAUAACCUUCCGAAAGGUUGGCUAAUACUCGGUAAGCUUACGGUGACUUCGGUCGCUGUGAGAAAACUAGACCUCUAUUUAUAAGUUUAGGCCCAGAGAUGAGUCCGCGGCCCAUCAGCUAGUUGGCGGGGUAACGGCCCACCAAGGCUACGACGGGUAGCUGGUCUGAGAGGACGAUCAGCCACACUGGAACUGAGACACGGUCCAGACUCCUACGGGAGGCAGCAGUGGGGAAUUUUCCACAAUGGGCGAAAGCCUGAUGGAGCAACGCCGCGUGUGUGAUGAAGGUCUUCGGAUCGUAAAGCACUUUCGACUGAGACGAAAAACCUUUGGCUAACAUCCAGGGGCCUGACGGUACCAGGAGAAGAAGCACCGGCUAACUCUGUGCCAGCAGCCGCAGUAAAAC
rnacentral:rRNA from 1 species